UAAUACGGAGGGUGCAAGCGUUGUUCGGAUUCAUUGGGCGUAAAGCGAGUGUAGGCGGUUUGACAAGUCGGAUGUGAAAUCCCGGGGCCCAACCCCGGAACUGCAUCCGAUACUGUCUGGCUAGAGUCCCGGAGAGGGUGGCGGAAUUCCCGGUGUAGGGGUGAAAUCCGUAGAUAUCGGGAGGAACACCAGUGGCGAAGGCGGCCACCUGGACGGUGACUGACGCUGAGACUCGAAAGCGUGGGUAGCAAACAGG
rnacentral:rRNA from 1 species